ensembl:snRNA U6 U6 spliceosomal RNA
GUGCUCACUUCAGCAGCACAUAUACUAAUAUUGAAAUGAUACAGAGAAGAUUAACAUGACCCUUGUGCAAGGAUGACACACAAAUUCAUGAAGUGUUCCACAUUUUU